rnacentral:tRNA from 1 species
GAGCCUAUGGUGUAGUGGUUAACACAGCAGUUUGUGGAACUGCGGACGAGAGUUCAAUUCUCUCUAGGCUCC